UUUUUUGAUAAAUUUUUUAUUAAUUUCUUGACACUGAUAUCAAUAAUUUAUUUUCUGAUAUAAAAAUUAUUUUAAUAAGAAGAGUCAUUUUUUAGGUUAUUUUCCUCCUAUGCACUUAUAGAGGUAAGGUUGUGUUGCUUGUGCAUCUUGCACUUGGUACAGCUCCAAAUAUUUCAUGAUGUAUGAUCAAUACAUAUAACAUUUCUUUAUAAAUUCCAUGUUAUAUAUUUCUAUGACUCCUAUGGUGCAUGGACAUGGUAAGCUUUUUAAAAACAUCCUUUGUUGUUAUAUAAAUGUUC
rnacentral:lncRNA from 1 species